UAAUUAUAUAAUAUAUUUUGUUUCAAUUAUAAUACUUAAACUAAUAUUUGAUUGACAUGCCGCGAUUUAGGCUGAGAAUCGUUUCUCCUUGAUUCUCAAGUGAGAAACUCUUCUUCCACUCUCUCUUACUUUUUUACUUUUGGGUUAUUAUUUUAUUAUUAAGUUUCUCAUUCAGAAAUGAUGAAGAUGGCCUUACGUUUACAUUUUAAAACAAAGAAGCAUGUAGUACUUUUGAAUAUUGUUUCUC
rnacentral:sRNA from 1 species